rnacentral:lncRNA from 1 species
UCAGUUAUUCCAUGCCUUGGUUUUGUUUUGAUCGGAGGAAACCCACGUUCCUCACACUCUUCUCAUGAUGUGCUUGUCACGUGCUGUGCAACAGUGAUGCAAUCUGCAAAUGGAACAAAAAAAAUAUAUAUAAUAGAGUAGGCGCGUGGGAUAUGAAGGGGAGGUGUAUUUAGUAAUGUUGUGGAGAAGGAUGAGCUUUUAAGGGAGGCAAUGGCUAAAAUGCAAUGCAAUGUUGUUGACGUGUCCACAUCUUCUACCAUUUUCAAUAAUUCUACUUCUGGUGGUUCGGUGCCAUUUUCAUUUUCUUUGCUUUCUUUUGGUUCCUCGUUUUUUGGCAAAGAUUUUAAGUGUCAUUUAUAAAUGCACUUAUUGCUCAGAAUUUUAUAAAUGCAAAAUGGAGAAGCUAAGGCUGAAUACAUAGUUUGGAUUAUGCAAUUCGCACUAACACCAGACAAAUGCGCAUUCAUUUCAUAUAUUAGCUGGAUAUCUAAUGCUAUAACGACUUCAACAUCUAUAAGGAUAUCCUAAAAAUUCAGAUAAAUUUCUAUUUUUUUUCUAUAGGACAAUGAUAUUUUG